rnacentral:rRNA from 1 species
AAUGAACGCUAGUAGUAUGCUUAACACAUGCAAGUCGAACGAAAGUUUUACACUUUCGUGGCGUACGGGUGAGUAAAUGCAGAAUUCUUCCUUCCAGUUCAGUACAAAAAUUGCUUCUAGUAAUAAAUUCUGAAUAUUUUAAAGGUUUAAUUCCGCUGAAAGAUGAAAUCUGCUUAAAGAUUAGGUUGUUGGUAAUUUAAAAAGCUUACCAAAGCCGAUGAUCUUUAGUUGGUCUGAGAGGAUGAUCAACCACACUGGAACUGAAACAAGGUCCAGGCUAAUUCGUUGGCCAGCAGUGAGGAAUAUUGGAGUCAAUGAACGAAAGUUUGAUCCAGC